CGUCCUGUAGCUCAGGUGGCAGAGCAUCCGUUUGAAGCGCGGAUGGCCCAGGUUCGAGUCCUGGCGGGACGG
rnacentral:tRNA from 2 species